AGUGAACGCUGGCGGUAGGCCUAACACAUGCAAGUCGAACGGCAGCACAGUAAGAGCUUGCUCUUACGGGUGGCGAGUGGCGGACGGGUGAGGAAUACAUCGGACUCUACUUUUUCGUGGGGGAUAACGUAGGUAAACUUACGCUAAUACCGCAUACGACCUACGGUUGAAAGCAGGGGAUCUUCGGACCUUGCGCGAUUGAAUGAGCCGAUGUCGGAUUAGCUGGUUGGCGGGGUAAAGGCCCACCAAGGGGACGAUCCGUAGCUGGACUGAGAGGAGGAUCGGCCACACUGGAACUGGGACACGGUCCAGACUACUACGAGAGGCAGCAGUGGGGAAUAUUGGGCAGAGGGCGCAAGCCUUAUCCAGUCAUACCGCGUGGGUGAAGAAGGCCUUCGGGUUGUAAAGCCCUUUUGUUGGGAAAGAAAAGCAGCAGGUUAAUACCCAGCUGUUCUGACGGUACCCAAAGAAUAAGCACCGGCUAACUUCGUG
rnacentral:rRNA from 1 species